UGGGGUCAUAGGGUAGCCUGGUCCAUCCUCGUGGCUUUGGGAGCCAUGGACCCCGGUUCAAAUCCGGGUGACCCCAU
rnacentral:tRNA from 2 species